UACGUAGGGGGCUAGCGUUGUCCGGAAUCAUUGGGCGUAAAGCGCGCGUAGGCGGCCCGGUAAGUCCGCUGUAAAAGUCCAGGGCUCAACCCUGGAACGCCGGUGGAUACUGUCGGGCUAGAGUCCGGAAGAGGCGAGUGGAAUUCCUGGUGUAGCGGUGGAAUGCGCAGAUAUCGGAAGGAACACCUGUGGCGAAAGCGGCUCACUGGACCAUAACUGACGCUGAGGCGCGAAAGCUAGGGGAGCAAACAGG
rnacentral:rRNA from 1 species